UCAUAUGUACAUGCCUAUAAUUUUAAUGCACCAGAUCCCAUUAAAACUCUGUAGUUAAGCAUGCUUGGGCUAGAGCAGUAUUGGGAUGGGUGACCUCUCGAGAAGUCCUAAUGUUUUACAUGCC
rfam:Picea glauca, whole genome shotgun sequence.